GUCUGCCCCACAGUACACCGUAGGAGAGCUUUCAACCAAAGAUCUGCCUCUCAAGACCGACUCCAGAAAGUUGUCCCCUAGGUUUAUAGUGUUGUCUGUCUGUGUUCUCCCCUCUUCUCGCACAAUCGGUGAAAAGGAGGCGUGUCGAAGGAUCCUGGGUCACUCGCUCACCUGCUUACCAUCCCUGAUCACUCACCAGCUUGCCAUCAAGCAUUCUACUCCCCCUUCUUAAACUGCCUCCAGCCAUCCAGUCUCCGCCAGAUCGUUGUGUUGUUCUGUACACUUGCACCUGCUUUCGGUUUGUGAUCCCUGGACCCAAUCCUCAUUACCUUUCCUGCCCGUCAGCCCCAGCCUCUCGGACCUCAGCUCAAGUUCACUGCCUGCCUGCCUGCCGCUCUCCCCGACCAUGCUUCACCACCCACCUUUUGUCCACACCAAUAAAUAUCCUGAACUGCU